rnacentral:lncRNA from 1 species
CUUCAUAAAUAUUUUAUUUUACUGUACAAAUUCAUAUUUUAAAUUCAACAUCUAUUUUACAAAUGGACUGCAUCAUAAAUAGUAUAAAAAUAUCAAUGUACAUCAUGUUAGGACGGAUUUAAACAUACCAAAUAGCUGUUUACAUAAAAUAUUUCUUAUACAAGAUCUUACUUGUAUAAUUUUGAUGGAGAAAUACAAAAUUUUUACUGCAAGCUUUAUGGUUUCCAUUUUUUUUCCUCAGUCAAAAUUUUGAUGCUCUUAGCCUUAUUUGAGUUCUGAAUUUCAAAAGUAUGAACUCAUAGCACAAGUUUAAGAAUAAGACCCUUAAAAUACAGAAUUAUAAAUACAAUACAGAUCAUUAACAAACAAGAAAACAAAACAAAUGUUCACCUCUUACAAAACAUACUAGUUUUAUGAAUUACUAUCUUGUACAAUAUGAAAUGAUAAACUUCAUAAACUUUAGAUUGGAAGGGCAUUUAAAGAUGAUAUAAGAUUUUAAACAAAGUCUGAG